rnacentral:rRNA from 1 species
UGGGGAAUAUUGCGCAAUGGGGGGAACCCUGACGCAGCCAUGCCGCGUGAAUGAAGAAGGCCUUAGGGUUGUAAAGUUCUUUCGGUAUUGAGGAAGGUUGAUGUGUUAAUAGCACAUCAAAUUGACGUUAAAUACAGAAGAAGCACCGGCUAACUCCGUGCCAGCAGCCGCGGUAAUACGGAGGGUGCGAGCGUUAAUCGGAAUAACUGGGCGUAAAGGGCACGCAGGCGGUUAUUUAAGUGAGGUGUGAAAGCCCCGGGCUUAACCUGGGAAUUGCAUUUCAGACUGGGUAACUAGAGUACUUUAGGGAGGGGUAGAAUUCCACGUGUAGCGGUGAAAUGCGUAGAGAUGUGGAGGAAUACCGAAGGCGAAGGCAGCCCCUUGGGAAUGUACUGACGCUCAUGUGCGAAAGCGUGGGGAGCAAACAGGAUUAGAUACCCUAGUAGUCCACGCUGUAAACGCUGUCGAUUUGGGGGUUGGGGUUUAACUCUGGCGCCCGUAGCUAACGUGAUAAAUCGACCGCCUGGGGAGUACGGCCGCAAGGUU